GACGAACGCUGGCGGCGUGCCUAAUACAUGCAAGUAGAACGCUGAAGAGAGGAGCUUGCUCUUCUUGUAUGAGUUGCGAACGGGUGAGUAACGCGUAGGUAACCUGCCUUUUAGCGGGGGAUAACUACUGGAAACGAUAGCUAAUACCGCAUAACAAUGGAUGACACAUGUCUUUUAUUUGAAAGGGGCUAUUGCUCCACUACAUGAUGGACCUGCGUUGUCUUAGCUAGUAGGUAAGGUAAUGGCUCACCAAGGCAACGAAACAUAGCCGACCUGAGAGGGGGACGGGCAACACUGGAACUGGGACACGGCCAGGACUCCUACGGGGGGAGGAAGAGGGGAACUUUGGGCAAGGGGGCAAAGCCUGCCGGGGCAAGGCCGGGGGGGGGAGGAAGGUUUUGGAUCCGAAAGACCUUGUGAAAGUCGAGGACGAGAGGGGGAGUGGAAUGUGCACACUGUGACGGUAGCUUAUCAGAAAGCGACGGCUAACUACGUG
rnacentral:rRNA from 1 species